rnacentral:pre_miRNA from 1 species
UUAACUAAAAUAUGUAUGGAGUUGGAACAGCGCCUCUGGCGGCAAACGUAAGCAAACGUUCCAACUCCAUACAAAUUUGAGUUA